rnacentral:tRNA from 1 species
GGUUGUAGCUCAGUGGUAGAGUGCUUGCCUAACACGUGCAAGUUACUGGGUUUGAUCCUCAGCACCA